rnacentral:rRNA from 1 species
AACGAACGCUGGCGGCAUGCCUAACACAUGCAAGUCGAACGAAGCCUUCGGGCUUAGUGGCGCACGGGUGCGUAACACGUGGGAAUCUGCCCUUCGGUUCGGAAUAACAGUUAGAAAUGACUGCUAAUACCGGAUGAUGACGAAAGUCCAAAGAUUUAUCGCCGAAGGAUGAGCCCGCGUAGGAUUAGGUAGUUGGUGGGGUAAUGGCCCACCAAGCCGACGAUCCUUAGCUGGUCUGAGAGGAUGAUCAGCCACACUGGGACUGAGACACGGCCCAGACUCCUACGGGAGGCAGCAGUGGGGAAUAUUGGACAAUGGGCGAAAGCCUGAUCCAGCAAUGCCGCGUGAGUGAUGAAGGCCUUAGGGUUGUAAAGCUCUUUUACCAGGGAUGAUAAUGACAGUACCUGGAGAAUAAGCUCCGGCUAACUCCGUG